CCCCUGCUCAUGCUCUGUCUCUCUCUCUUUCUCUUUCUCUCAAAAAUAAAAUAAAAACAUAAAAAAAAUUUUUUAAGUGUCAAAGACCUACGGAAAAGUUGCAAGUAAAACAAAAAAAAUUCCUUUGUUCCCCCUGCUGAGCCCUCAAGAGUAAGUUGCUGGCCUGGCUACAUCGUGCCCCAGUGCCUUAGCAUGUAUUUCCCACCAAUAAGAACCUUCUACUUGUGUAGGACGCAGCCAUCAAAAUCAGGACGUGGACAUUAAUACCGCCAUACCUGGAGAGCUAUCAUUCGUUCCAAUAACGUUCUUUAUAGCAAAGGAUCUCACCGAGGGUCACACGUUGCAUUUGGCUCAACGUGAACUUGUUCUUCAGCCUUGACCUGCGUAACCCUGCUUCACGAUGCUGUGCAUUACACGUCAGUUGUUUUGUGGACUGUCCUCAGUUUGGGCUUGUCUAAGGUUUCCUCUUGAUUGGAUUCGGUCUAUGAGUCUUUGGCAGGAACAUCACAGAAGUGACUGCGUUGUGUUCACUUAGGCCUGUCGGGCUGUUGCCCGAUUUCACUUGGAACCAUUACUGGGAUGGUUGCUCUUGCCAUUUGAUGAAGCCCAUGUCUGCCAAGCUCUCUCCACUGGGUGCGGCAUCACGGAUCCCUGUGCUGUUCCGUGGGUUGUCAUCCAUGUUUGUCGUGUUUUAUUUUGACACUCAAAUUGUCCUCUGUCAGGCCUCUUGGAGCUGGCUGCUGCGUCCUUUUAGAACGUCCCCAUCAAUCUUUGACCACUUUCCUGCACGAAGAGUAUGCGAAUAUUCUAGGUGGUUCUAGAGAUUCAGAUCCUGGUGCUUCCAUUUCCCAGCUAGAUGACCAUGGGCUUCACACCCAGCACUGAGCCCAAGAUGAGGCUUGAAUUCACAACCCUGAGAUCAAGACCGGAGCUGAGACCAAGAGUCAGAUGCUUAACUGACGGAGCCACCCGGGUGCCCCAUCGCAUAUGUUAAUUAAAUGCUUGCUAUGUGUCAGGCUCUGUUAUAGGCAAUGGGAUACAGCCAUUAAAACGCAGCUGCUUAAAAAAAUUUAUUGCAAAAUUAAAAAUGCAAUUAAUAAAGGACAGAAAUAUCUGUACACUCAUGUUUGUGACCACGUUGUUCACAAUAACCCAAAAGGUGGGAGCAACCCAGGUGUCUGCUGAUGGACGAAUGGAUGACCAGAAUGUAUGUACACUGCAAAAGAAUAUGAUUCCGCCUUAAAAAGGAAGGGAAUUCUGGCAUAUGCUACAAUAUGGACAAGCCUGGAAGACAUUGUACUAAGUGACAUAAGCCAGUCACAAAAGGACAAAUACUGCGUGAUUCAUUUGAGACACCCUAGAGUAGCCACUUUCAGAGACAGCAGAAUGGUGGUUGCCAGAGGCUGAGGGAUGGGGGGAGCGGUGGAGGGUUAGUGUUUACUGCGGACCGAGUUUCAAUUCGGAAUGAUGAAAAAAGCUCUGAAGAUGGACGGUGGGGAUGACCGCACGAUAAAGAGACGGCGUACUUAGUGCUGCUGAACUGGACAGCUAAAAAUGGUGACAAUGCAAGCCUUAUGUUGUAUAUAUUUUACCACGGUUUUUUCAAAUGUGACAAAAUAACGACAACACCUGUAGAUAGUGGAAUAAAGCACGGAAAUCAAGUUCACGACA